UCUCCUGUAGCUCAGUGGUCAGAGAGCGUCCGACCGGUGUGCGGAAGUUCAUAGGUUUGACUCAUGUUGGGAGAA